CAAUUAUUCUCUCAGAAUAACACACAUUUGACAAUUGAAGAAUUCAGUCGAUUCGUUGUCUUGCUUGUGCUUAUUGUUUGUAUGCAGCGCGUUUCUAUAUUUUUUCCUUUUUAAUGACAUUAAAUGAUGAAAGAAAUUUUUUGUCAGAAGACAAAAUUGAAGAAGACGAAAAAGUGACACGAAAGUGGUGGUGUUGUGUUUUUUUUGCAAGAUCAUUAAUAUUUAUUUUUUAGCAUUAUUUGUGUAAUAUUUGCAAAUGUGGCAAGUGUACAGUGUGCAUUAAAUAAAAUAAAUCAGAAGUUGCAAAAUUUAUUUCCUAUUCAAACUUUAUGCGUUCGUUGCGGCUGAUGACGCCUUCGGGACCAGGUGCAAAUUAAUAAAUUCAAAGAUAAACGUUGUACGCGAUUUUGUUAUCUAAUUUAUGUUCAAACGUUGCCUUAACCAAUAAGCAAUCCUCAAGUGGUCGAUCGGAACUCGGGCCGCGAUUAUUAUUUUAAAGCGACUGCGCGUAGUUAGAAUUUCUUGUGACCUCAUCAUGUGCCACCAACGUCAACGGACAAUUUAAAAUUUGUUUCGUUUUCAGAUUUUUCGUCGUUCAAUGUUUAUUUUUCCGCAUUUCUUACUUUUCGGUUGAGUUUGCAGUACAAAAUUAUUCAUAAUCGGAACGGAACCAGAAUUCAAAUAAAAAACACUGCAAAACUCAUAGAAAUACAAACAGGCAGGCAGGCAGAUAGUAAGAAAGACAGACAGGCGUGAUAGCAAAGCUCACCUGGGGUAUAACAAGUACGAAAAGUAACAACAACAACAACAAAAAAAAACAACAUCGGCAAUAGCUACACAGCAAUCACAAAGUACGAAAAAGCCUUUAAAAAAAGUACACAAAGAUACUUUUAUUUAUUUAAAAAUUAAAAUAACAACAAAAACAACAA